AAGGUGGUGGGCAGGGGGCAGUCAAGCUGGAGAGAAGCUGACAGAGGGCUGUACUGGAUUCUGAGAGAUAAUAAAGUCCAUGGAAAAAGUCUGGAUGGGUUGCCAUUUCCCUGCCUAGACUUCAGCAUCCAGGCCAGAGGAUGACAACUCAUCCCAUCCAGCAGCUCUUGGCACUUGAAACCAUGGAACAGGUUUCAUUGAUCAGCAAAGACAAUUAUUUUCUGUGGGCUGAAUCCCUCACACUGUUGCAAAUCAGGAGCAAGUCCACUGAAGCCAAAUGACUUCCAUGCAUGCUAAUUCAGUCAUGCCCAGAUGCUUAAGGGUAUUUUGGUGAGUGAGCUCCUCCAUUGCUGGGGAAAGUGUGCUUUUGCUCAUGGCUCCUCCUGAGCCAUGUGUACUUUGGGAAGGCUUAAUGAAAGUAGAAAGGAAAGCAGGUUGGAGGAAAGAGGAGGGAAAGAAAAAUUUUUACAUGUGCUAUUUGUUUUUAGAGUCACUAAAACUUCCUUCUUAGUAGAUGCCAUCUAAGAAAAGAGCAGCACAGGUUCUGGACUGUAAUGCUACUAGCCUGUGGAACUCCAGAAAAAAAUUGGCUUUGUCUUGUCAACAGUAGGUGACAACAGAACACCAUUUUUCUUUUCAACCACUUGUCAUGAGUAUGUGCUGAUGUUUCUGAAUAUAUGUUGAUCAAAGACAGUCAAAAAGGAUUUAACUUUUUUGGGGCUACUACUUAACUAAACACUUAUUUAAAAGCUUAUGUUUAAAAAAUAUAUAUAUUAAAAUAAGUCUGGUUAGCCUGUAGUCAUUAUUCAACCUGUAUUUUCUACUUUGAUAAAAAAACUUAGUAAUUGCAAGAUUUUUAUUGUUUGUAUCUAAGCAGGGUUCUUUUUAGAGCAUAUGACUAAUGAGAAUUAGUUGCUGCAU